rnacentral:tRNA from 1 species
AAUUAGGAAGCGAUAACUUGCAUCAAGUUUCGGCCUUGAACUAGGUAUAAAUUUACCCCUAAUUACCAUUUGAUAU